UCGUUAGACUUUUUAAUAUCUGUUACCUUUACCCUUCGGGGUAUUUUUUUUCUCUUCCUCUAUCUGAUCUAAAAAGAUGUAAGAUGACCGCUCUAUGUGGAUGACGGCAUACUCUCUAAUGAGAGUGGUAUCACACUAUCUGUAGGGGUUACCCGUGGCUAAAUAAUGUCGUGACUGUCGAAUUUGUUAGGGCCACUAUGGUUGGUAUAGUCAUGGUCAUAGAUCGACCAUAG
rnacentral:lncRNA from 1 species